UCCUGGACUUGACAUAGUAAGAAUGAUUUAGAGAUAGAUUAGUGUCUGCUUGCAGAAACUUGCAUACAGGUGCUGCACGGCUGUCGUCAGCUCGUGUCGUGAGAUGUUGGGUUAAGUCCCGCAACGAGCGCAACCCUCGUCCUUAGUUGCUAACAGUUCGGCUGAGAACUCUAAGGAGACUGCCUACGCAAGUAGGAGGAAGGUGAGGAUGACGUCAAGUCAUCAUGGCCCUUACGUCCAGGGCUACACACAUGCUACAAUGGGGUAUACAAAGAGCAGCAAUACGGUGACGUGGAGCAAAUCUCAAAAAUGCCUCCCAGUUCGGAUUGUAGUCUGCAACUCGA
rnacentral:rRNA from 1 species